GAGAAUUGUUCAGAUGUAAUCCAAUUGUAAUGCCAAAAGCAUCCUUUCUAUACAAAGUGAAUACAAGUCACCAAAAAGAUUAGAAGCAAUGAACAAAAUGAAAUUUAAUAAUAAAGAAAAGAAAUAAAAUUUGUCAAAACACACUAUAAAGAGGAGAAAAAACAAAUAUAGGUCAUUAUCUUACAACACACACAACCAGCCCAACCAAAACAAAAUUUCAAAAAUCAUAAACGGACAAACCUCAGUAGUAGCAAGCUCAUAGUCAUAAAACAAUAAACCAUAGAUACAUAAAUCAUAAAACAUUUCAAAUGAAAAUGGCAUUAAAAAAAAUGAACUGAAAAAUAAAAUAAGAGAGGCUCACACAGAGGCGGCUGCAGCAAGCAGUGGUUUAGGGUGAAGGCUCAGCAUUGAUAGAUCACAACUCACAAGGCCGAAGGCUCAGCGUCGACUGUGCAAUCGGAGGAAGAUAAGGCUUUUUUGCUUUGUUUGAUUUUUGCAAAAUUCUUAAGGAUACAUAGUAGUAGCAUAAUUGGAAUUCAUAUCAUGAGCUUGCAGGCUUGGAUGAUGGGCGUAAUUUAAAAAAAAAAAAAAAAAAAAAAAUUGUGGCCCAAUUCUUCAUCCCUUUCUUUCAACCUCCCAGGAGACGGCAAAAAUGGUAGGGCUUCAUCUAACAAUUCUGGCUUCAUCUAACAAUUCUAACCUGUAAAUUCCGGCGGAUCCAACACGGGUGGCUGCGCUACCUCGCCGGGUGUUGGAUCCGCCACUGUUCCAACUAUCAGACAUGUAUUAAUUAAUCGUUUAUUAUGGCAUGUUAUAUUUUUUGGUUUCAAAGUAAGUCAUCUUUUUGAGUUUACAAGUUGGUAUUGAUGUUUCCCACUCAAUAUAUAUCAUAUUAGAUGAUCGAUAGUUAAAAUGUUUAACAUAUGUGUCUAUCUUAUUUAUAUUUAUUAGUGAGUUGGUGCGAUUUCUAAGACAAUGAAACACCAUAUUUAAAAACAAUGGUAAAAAGGAUCAUUGAUUUGACUAUUAGUUCGUUAGUUGUGAAAGAAAUUGGAGUGUUGUUGAAGGCGUAAGUAUUAGUUAGGUUGUUACAAUUUAAUUACUAUUUUUUUACUACGACAUCAUUUCUACAACUCCUUUCUUUUGGCCAAUAAAUAAUUACUUGAAUGUGCUUUGCUCCAUAAAUGUACCUUUUUUUAUGCACACCAAAAAAUGGAAUAGACUUGAUAUGAGGAUGAACAAUCUUAUUUAUAUCCAAUUUUAAUGCAAGAUUGAUUAACAAGAAGAAGAGGAAAGGGCAAAAUUAGGGCAUUGCUAGCAAGAGAUGUUACUAAUGGACAAUCUUGGAUUGUAGAGGGUUAUGAUGAUGAGGAGGGGAAGAUUGACGGGGGGGUGGAAAAUGAUAUUUUACAACUUACAAGAGGUACUAGAAAUGAUCAAAAUGAAAUAAGGGAACUCGAGAAUGACGAUUUGGUCUUUAAUAAUACAAAGGAUGAAUUAGAUGAAGAAAGAGGAUAUUAAACUAGUAAAGAGUUAGAUAAGGUUUAAGCUAAGAGCUAUCUAACCUAAUUAUGAUUUUGAGACUUAUCUUUUUUUUGAAAAUUUAGAAAAUAUGUAUAAAAUUCAUAUAAAUCCAUUAACUAAAGUAGGAUUUGUCUAGUUGAAACUUAAAAGCCAAAACUAUGAAAGGUGGUCUAGUUUUUGAAAAGUUAAAAAAUUGCAUAAUUGACUAAUUAUAAGAAUUAUUAAUUAAAUAGAAUAUUUUUUAAAUUUAGAUGUUUGGUAUUUAUUAUAAAAUGCGAUUUCGAAGGUUAUUAAAAUUUUGAAAUAAUAUUAAAAAUAAAAAACAUUUUUUAACCGAGAACUCGCAUAGGCAUGUAAAGCUUGAAAUUUAACUUUUAAACAGCCACGCUUAUUGCCUUUUAGAAGAUUAUUAAUUCUACCCGUUAGUAGUAAAGUUAUUUACUGCAGCCAGAAACACAAUUUAAACAUUGAUACCCCGAAUCAGAGAAUUACAUAACUAGUCCUUUAAAUAAUCUCCAGAGGUUUCUUUUUCUGCACAAUGAUUGUUUAUACUACCUAAUAAUCAAUUAGCCAACCUAAAUUUCUUUUUUCGACAUUGCCCACAUAAAAACAAAUUCCUGAAAGUUAUUCAGAUUCACCACAGUCCACAGUCAGGAAAAUCAUAAUAUUUAUUUUAUUUUUGUUUUCCUUCUUGAUGGUCAGGUAGGCAUGUAAAAUACAUACCUGAAUUCAACUGAAUGAAUGAACUGAUCUCGGGUGCUGGAUUCAUCCCAAAGGCAUUGUAUCAGUCGCCCAAGAGCCAAACUUCAGCCCCAAAAAUGCUAAGGAAUUGAAUAAAUUUUAUCCUACUGUCUUUGUUGUAUAGGAAGGAUUAAAAGGCAGUAAAAAUUAGAAAUAAUGAAAAUCAUAAGAAAUACAAAAGUAGGCCAAAUCAGUGAGUUCAUUCUAAUUACGCCGAUUUCAUCUAAGUCAAAGCAAAAGUAGGAUUAAGAAAUUAAAAAAUAUAUUUAUAGUAAUUAAGAGAAAUAAUUUAAACAGAAAAAAAUAAUAAAAAAUAAAAAACUGUAUCGAGAAAUGAAUAGGAAGAAACCAUCAGAGAAAUUGGAUUAUUACUGCAUCAAAUCGUGCUCAGACGACCGUCGUGAGAUUUUAAAUCCGAAUACAUCAUUUGGCUUCAAACAUUUAAAAAAAACUGGAAAAAGAUGUGUGUGAUUAGGGACAAUUAAUCCUAAUUCAUCAAUUUGGCUUCAAACAUUGAAUCAAAAACUGGAAAAGAGUCGUGAGUUUAUGUGUGUGUGAGCUGCUAUUUG
rnacentral:lncRNA from 1 species